rnacentral:tRNA from 1 species
GGAGGGUAUCCGAAUGGUUAGGGAGCUGAUUCGAAAUCAGUCGCUGGUUCGCCCAGUUGCGGGUUCGAGUCCCGUGCCCUCCG